GGCCCCGUAGCUCAGCAUGGAUAGAGCGGCGGCUUUCUAAGCCGACGGUCGAGGGUUCAAAUCCCUCCGGGGCCG
rnacentral:tRNA from 3 species